CCCCAAUAUCAGCGCAUCCCGUUUCGCGGGGCGGGUGUUGGGGUUAAUGCCACCAAGUAGUGGUUGCAGGCUUGAGGAGAGCCGCCGAGUGGUGGUUCUAGAGGGAAAAAUCUGCCAAGUUCAAAGGUCAGGCAAGCGAAAGGUUUACCGAGUCGGAAGGUUGGGCGAGUAAAAAAAUUACCAAGUCCAAAAUACUGGCGGUAACCUACCCGGGACUCCGAGUAAGUCGGGGAAGAAGUUGGCGGAUUUUUCCCCAACCAACUCAACUUUUGACCAAUUUACCUGCCCGAGCUCACGGGUAGGCUGCGGUUUAUUUUUGGACUUUGUAGAUUUACUUAAAUCAAUUCACAGGAAGUUACCUGCCGAAUUACCUGGGCUCCCGGGUAGGCUAUAGUUAACUUUUGGACUUCCGACUAUAACCUGGGAUUUUCCCAACCAUAGCUCACGGGUAGGUUAGUUGUGAUUUUUGGACUCGGUGAAAUUUCUACUUUCCUGCCAAGUCUAGUCUACCCGGGAGCCCAGGCAAGUCGGGCAGGUAAAUUCCGCCAACUCGGCAGGGAACUAAUUGCAAAUCAAUUCAAGCAAAUGUGCCAAGUCCACAAAUCAAUCGCAGCCUACCUGGUAGGUAAGCCUGUGUAGUUUCCGUGUAAUUUUCCCGUAAAGACCAAAAAGUCAGGUAUUUUGGUACUUAAUUUAUAUAAGUACAAGUUGAUUUUUUUGUUUUUUUAUAUAAAUAAAUUUUGCGGAAAAUAAAAAAUAAGCUAUAAAAGCCUGGUAGCGGAGGCGGGCCCUUAGGGUAGUUGGUGGGUAUAUGAGAGGGAGGGCUGGACACGCGUCGCGUCGCGUAUUUCCGCCGCAGCCAAUACUUUUAGCUUUAGGGUAGGCUGCUUCUUUAGAGGCGUGCUGAAUUAAAUGGUCUCUUGAGUGAGGGGAUUUCUCUGCUGGCAGUUGCCUGUGAUCCGGGAGUCCGUGGCGGUAAAGUCAACUGUAAGGCUUGUGUGUGUGCCGGGGCCCUGUAAGUCCCGACCAGGAACCCUACAGGUCACGUGCCGAUACAAUAAGACAGAUAAGAUAUACGGCACGUGCUAAUACACGUGCCAAUACAAGUGACGAUAAGAUCAACAAGAUACCUGCACGUGCCUAGUCACGGAGACUUACACGUGUCCCGCUGCCAAGAUCCCCGAGAUUGCCGACCUCGCCGACUACUCUUGGUGUAAUGUGCUGGUACUUGCGGUCACAUACAAGUUCCUAGUAUUUUGGCGUAGUUGUGGUCGUGGUCGUGCAGUUACAGCAGUGCACUUACCCUGUAGUACUGCUGGCACCGGCCACCGUCGCGUGCACGCGGCUGCCGUCGGCCGUGGUGGAGGGUUACCCGGGACCACGGUGCAUUUUUCCGUUUUUUUCAUUUUUUUCAAAAUCGACGACCAAAAAGUUGGUAGGUCUGGGUUGCCUUGCUGGCCAAUAGAGAUUUGUAUGGCGCUACUAUAGGGUAGGUAUAGGGUAGGCUGUGCCGGUACUUGCGGUCGCACACAAAUCCCUAGCAGCCUGAAGUACCCCCGCGCGCGGGCAACUUCAAACCGCUAUAGCUCCUCCCAGCGGCAUCACACACAACUAUGAGGGCCACCAUUCGAUUCGUCUCGCCGAGCUGCAUCGAUUGAGCCCGGGUUGCCAAAAAGUCGGGUGUUUUGGUAUUUGAUUUGUAUGGGCGUGAGUCGAUUUUUUUGUUUUCCCAUACAAAUGAAUUUUGCGGAAAAUAAAAAAUGGACCACGAGCGCCCGGUGGCGGAGGUGGACCCUCGAGGUGGUCGGUGGGUAUGUGAGAAGGGGGCGUCGAAAGAUGCCGGGACAGCUGGGUCUUCGCUGAAAGGCAGGAUUUCCGGUGAGUCACCGCCCUCUCUGUACCAUAUCUUGCCGAGCCCCAGUGCUUGAGUGGCCUCCUGAACACGCCUGUAGAAGGUCUCUUUUACAGGCUGGGAGGUCACACUGGGGAUUCAAACUCCACGAAACCGGCGGCUACGGCCGUGCGGCGUACUGGUUAUACCUCGUGGCAGUGGGAGGCACCCGCCUCUUACCGCUCAGGAGAUGGGUUCUGUGGGCUGCUGGCCGCUGGCCAACAUGCCGUAAAUCAGAAUAACGGGAGGCAACCACGGGUAGCUGACGCCGAAAUGGCAGAGGCUGCACGGAGCGUCCUCCUCUUAGGGCACCUAUACCGCACUUUACGGUGCGUGUGGACGGCUGCGCCUAGGGAAUUGAGAGGGGGAAAGCGGAUUUGCCGCUGGGCGGUCUCUCCCGGUCAAACGGGCAGGGCACCUCCCGGCGCGCAGCACCCUUUCGAGUGGGGGAAAGGUGUGCCGACCAGUAACUUGGACUAUUCUCUCCGGCGCCCCCAACAGGGCGUCGGUAGGCCAACCCCGGCGAACGAUAGU
rnacentral:misc_RNA from 1 species